rnacentral:rRNA from 1 species
GGGAUAUUGCACAAUGGGGGAAACCCUGAUGCAGCGACGCCGCGUGGAGGAAGAAGGUCUUCGGAUUGUAAACUCCUGUCCGAGGGGACGAUAAUGACGGUACCCUUGGAGGAAGCACCGGCUAACUACGUGCCAGCAGCCGCGGUAAAACGUAGGGUGCAAGCGUUGUCCGGAAUUCCUGGGUGUAAAGGGAGCGCAGGCGGACUGUCAAGUUGGGGGUGAAAACUACGGGCUCAACCCGUAACUUGCUUUCAAAACUGGCGGUCUUGAGUGGUGUAGAGGUAGGCGGAAUUCCCGGUGUAGCGGUGGAAUGCGUAGAUAUCGGGAGGAACACCAGUGGAGAAGGCGGCCUACUGGGCACUAACUGACGAUGAGGCUCGAAAGCAUGGGUAGCAAAC